rnacentral:misc_RNA from 1 species
CGAAGUAAAAGUCGUAACAAGGUUUCCGUAGGUGAACCUGCGGAAGGAUCAUUAUUGUAUAACCGAGGUGCGAGGGCUGUCGCUGACCCGAAAGGUCGUGCACGCCCGAGUGCCCUCACACACAUCCACCUCACCCCUAUGUGCACCACCGCGUGGGUCCCCCUUUGGCUUGUUCGGAGGGGGGCUUACGUUUUCACACAAACUUUGUAUGCAGUGUAGAAUGUAUUUUUUGUUUUUGCGAUCACGCAAUCAAUACAACUUUCAACAACGGAUCUCUUGGCUCUC